UACAGAGGGUGCAAGCGUUGUUCGGAAUUAUUGGGCGUAAAGGGCGCGUAGGCGGUGCGGUAAGUCUGUAGUGAAAUCUCUGGGCUCAACUCAGAGUCUGCUGCAGAAACUGCCGUGCUUGAGUGUGGGAGAGGUGAGUGGAAUUCCUGGUGUAGCGGUGAAAUGCGUAGAUAUCGGGAGGAACACCUGUGGCGAAAGCGGCUCACUGGACCACAACUGACGCUGAGGCGCGAAAGCUAGGGGAGCAAACAGG
rnacentral:rRNA from 1 species